rnacentral:rRNA from 1 species
GCUAUCAGGCGUCGAGCGGCGGACGGGUGAGUAAUACUUAGGAAUCUACCUAGUAGUGGGGGAUAGCACGGGGAAACUCGUAUUAAUACCGCAUACGACCUACGGGAGAAAGGGGGCAGUUUACUGCUCUCGCUAUUAGAUGAGCCUAAGUCGGAUUAGCUAGAUGGUGGGGUAAAGGCCUACCAUGGCGACGAUCUGUAGCUGGUCUGAGAGGAUGAUCAGCCACACCGGGACUGAGACACGGCCCGGACUCCUACGGGAGGCAGCAGUGGGGAAUAUUGGACAAUGGGGGAAACCCUGAUCCAGCCAUGCCGCGUGUGUGAAGAAGGCCUUUUGGUUGUAAAGCACUUUAAGCAGUGAAGAAGACUCCGUGGUUAAUACCCACGGACGAUGACAUUAGCUGCAGAAUAAGCACCGGCUAACUCUGUGCCAGCAGCCGCGGUAAUACAGAGGGUGCAAGCGUUAAUCGGAAUUACUGGGCGUAAAGGGAGCGUAGGUGGCUCGAUAAGUCAGAUGUGAAAUCCCCGGGCUCAACCUGGGAACUGCAUCUGAUACUGUUGAGCUAGAGUAUGUGAGAGGAAGGUAGAAUUC